rnacentral:rRNA from 1 species
UACGUAGGGCGCAAGCGUUAUCCGGAAUUAUUGGGCGUAAAGCGCGUGUAGGCGGCUAUGUAAGUCGGGCGUGAAAUCCCACGGCUCAACCGUGGAAGUGCACUCGAAACUGCAUAGCUAGAGUCCUGGAGAGGAAGGUGGAAUGCUUGGUGUAGAGGUGAAAUUCGUAGAUAUCAAGCGGAACACCGGUGGCGAAGGCGGCCUUCUGGACAGUGACUGACGCUGAGACGCGAAAGCGUGGGGAGCAAACAGG